rnacentral:lncRNA from 1 species
CAAUAUCAUCCACUAAAUCUGGAAGGUGAGAGUAACCCACCACAAUAUCAUCCACUAAGGAAGGAAGGUGAGAAUCACCCACCACAAUAUCAUCCACUAAAGAAGGAAGGUCAGAGUAACCCACCACAAUAUCAUUCACUAAAGAAGGAAGGUCAGAGUAACCCACCACAAUAUCAUCCACUAAAUCUGGAAGGUGAGAGUAACCCACCACAAUAUCAUCCACUAAAUCUGGAAGGUGAGAGUAACCCACCACAAUAUCAUCCACUAAGGAAGGAAGGUGAGAAUCACCCACCACAAUAUCAUCCACUAAAUCUGGAAGGUGAGAGUAACCCACCACAAUAUCAUCCACUAAGGAAGGAAGGUGAGAAUCACCCACCACAAUAUCAUCCACUAAAUCUGGAAGGUGAGAGUAACCCACCACAAUAUCAUCCACUAAGGAAGGAAGGUCAGAGUAACCCACCACAAUAUCAUCCACUAAAUCUGGAAGGUGAGAGUAACCCACCACAAUAUCAUCCACUAAGGAAGGAAGGUGAGAAUCACCCACCACAAU